UACGCGUGGGAAUCUACCCUUUUCUACGGAAUAACGCAGGGAAACUUGUGCUAAUACCGUAUGUGUCCUUCGGGAGAAAGAUUUAUCGGGAAAGGAUGAGCCCGCGUUGGAUUAGCUAGUUGGUGGGGUAAAGGCCUACCAAGGCGACGAUCCAUAGCUGGUCUGAGAGGAUGAUCAGCCACAUUGGGACUGAGACACGGCCCAAACUCCUACGGGAGGCAGCAGUGGGGAAUAUUGGACAAUGGGCGCAAGCCUGAUCCAGCCAUGCCGCGUGAGUGAUGAAGGCCCUAGGGUUGUAAAGCUCUUUCACCGGAGAAGAUAAUGACGGUAUCCGGAGAAGAAGCCCCGGCUAACUUCGUGCCAGCAGCCGCGGUAAUACGAAGGGGGCUAGCGUUGUUCGGAAUUACUGGGCGUAAAGCGCACGUAGGCGGAUCGAUCAGUCAGGGGUGAAAUCCCAGGGCUCAACCCUGGAACUGCCUUUGAUACUGUCGAUCUGGAGUAUGGAAGAGGUGAGUGGAAUUCCGAGUGUAGAGGUGAAAUUCGUAGAUAUUCGGAGGAACACCAGUGGCGAAGGCGGCU
rnacentral:rRNA from 1 species